rnacentral:lncRNA from 1 species
CUGGCCGAGCCCAUCGAUCUUCACUCUUUUGCUGUGUUCUUCAUUUGGAGUUGCUUGUUCUUGCUCUCAUCUCCGGCUAUUGAUUCAUUUCAUGAUUUCUACACCGUCAUCGACUUGUUAAGAGGUCACUAGCUUCAUCUUCUCAACAUUUAGCAGCGGCAUAUGUCAUUUCCUAGUGUUAUGUAUAUUGUUUUUUAUUUUAUGGUUGCACAUUUUUUUAGAGAAAUAGUGAUAAUAUGUUUUUUUAUUUUAAUUAGUUUAAAAAAAAUUAAAAAUAUAUAAUACUUUAAUUUGCAAUUUUUGACCGAUUUAAUUAGUUAAUUAUAACUAGUAUGCAU